UGAUGUGCAGAUACUACAAGUUGGUCACAAACUUGUGUACAAUGGGCCUGUUCUGGUUCAUGUGAAAAUCAACAUCCUUUUUUGUGUUCCUGGGUGACAGGAUGCUACAAUACUAUUAGCAUUUGCAAAGAAUGUGCUCUGUCCAUGGGUGUAACCACAGAUCGUGUGCUGCUCAGUUUGUGUUUCUCUAUUAUGCAAGAGACACAAAGAAGCUGAAGGCUGGCAAAGGCCUGUCAAAUCUUGUAAUGUAGCGCUCGACCCCCAAACUCCACUUAGCCUCCAGCAUCUCUUGUUCCUGGUCCCACCCCUUCCUCUGAAUGGGCUCUGAGGUUGGGGAGUUAAUGGUAACUUUGUCUGAAGCCAACAGAGCAGAAAGUCUUCUUGGAUGAGGCGUGGCAUACCCAACCUCCUCAGAACUAUGGGAUGAGAAUGUGGAAACGGGAAAAUUUCCAGAGCAGAUGGGAAAGAAGCUUGACCACCUUUUAGGGAAUCUCACAGAAUAGAUUUGAGGAUUCCUAUCAAUUCUGGACGGUGGGGACUGGGAACCUGAACUUUGUUCCUUAUGCACCGUGAUGUGUACAGUUAACCAGACACCAAGUCGAAGAUGCUACCAUGAUGCCAACCUGACUCCCCCAGGCAGAUGACCUCAACAAUGUACCCUGGAACCUCAUCUUUCCAGAGCCCUGCCCCACUAGGGAAAGAUAAAAAAAAGGCUGGGCGUAUGGAUCAGCCUGCCAAUGCCCUGGUUCAGCGGAGAAACAACUACAGAAGUCAAACCUUCCACUUUUUGUAUCCCAUAAUGAUCCUGGGUCCAUACUCCCAGAAAGAUAAAGAAUAGGAAAGCUUCCACUGGAGGGGAUGGGAUGAAAAAGGGAAAUGCAGGUCAUUUGUUAAUAGAUAUAAAUCAUGGCAACAAGAGGCCUUGAACACAAACACCAAAUUAAAGAACCUCCUGCCAUUAUACAAGAUAAGAAGGGGGCCAGGCAGUGGAGCUGCUGAUGAAGCACACAAAGUACUAAGCGCAAGGACCUGCCCAAGGAUCUUGGUUCGAGCCCCCCACCCACCCACAGGGGGCGCCUCUUCACAAGUGGUGAAGCAGGUCUCCCCCCUCCCCUUUCAAUUUCUCUCUGU